CACGUAGGGUGCGAGCGUUGUCCGGAAUUAUUGGGCGUAAAGAGCUCGUAGGCGGUGUGUCGCGUCGGCCGUGAAAACCUGCACCUUAACUGUGGGCUUGCGGUCGAUACGGGCAUCACUGGAGUUCGGCAGGGGAGACUGGAAUUCCUGGUGUAGCGGUGAAAUGCGCAGAUAUCAGGAGGAACACCGGUGGCGAAGGCGGGUCUCUGGGCCGAUACUGACGCUGAGGAGCGAAAGCGUGGGGAGCGAACAGG
rnacentral:rRNA from 1 species